UGUACGGUGUCUGUGGUGAAAGGUGGUCACGACCAGGCGGUGAACGAGGCGGCCAUCUUCCACGGCUGGGUGGUGCAGCAGGUGUCUGAGUUCCUGGUGACCCUGGACCGAGACCUCCAGAGGGGGGUGGGCGGACGCCUGGACUCCCUGCUGGGACAGUGCAUGUAUUUCGGCCUGUCCUUCAGCCGCGUUGGGCAGACUUCCGUGGCCAGCUGGCCCCGAUGUUCCAGCGCGUGGCGGCCGAUACCUUCCGUAAAGCUGUAGAGGAAGCCAUAGACCGGUUCCAGGAGGACAUGAACCUGUACACUCUGAUCUCUCUCCCCUCUAUGCUGGGUGGGGGCUCCAUGCCAGGUACCCUCCAGCCCCCCAGUACCCAGCCAGGUACCCUCCAGCCCCCCAUGACUCUGCUGGACUUCCCCCCUCUGGCCUGCUUCCUGAACAACAUCUUGACGGCCUUCAACGACCUCAGGCUCUGUUGUCCCCUCGGUCUGGCCCAGCAGGUGACCAAGUACCUGGAGGACGCCCUGGUGAAGGUCACCAAGUUGAUCGUGGCGUUCCACCGGGCUGAAGAGACGGCCUUCAGCGACCGAGAGAAGGAGCUGUUUGUCCAAUUCUGCUGUUCCUUUGCUGAGGACCUGGUCCCUUUCCUCAACCGUUGUCUACAGGUCCUGUUCCCCCCAGCACAGCUCUCUGUCAUACUGGGUGUCCCUCCAACUCAAGUCCACCAGUACAGCGGUCUGGGUUGUAUCGAUGUGAGUCCAGUCCUGGAGCCUCUGGCGUUUGUUCUUCCCAAGAGGGAGAUGGUGACUCCGGUGGGAGAGGACCUCAGUGUUGAGCUGGACGGUCUCACCACAGCUGAUCCUCCACCAAUACUUCCUGUUGACAACCUGGGACUUCCUGUUCCUGAACCAAUAGCAGGCCCGGAACCUAUUGAGGAGGAUCCCAUGGUCUCAUCCACCAUAUCUACUGAGUUUGUUUCCGAGACAGAACUGACCUCUGACCCUGAACUGGAAGCCAUUUUGAAUGACCCGAACCCUGUACUGGACGACGCAGAGAGACCAAGGGCUGACGGCCACCGUGAAGUACAGGAAGACCCUGAGUUGGAGGCCAUACUGAAUCCCCCAAAGCCUGUACUGACUGACCCAGAACAUAACCCAGUCCUAGAGCCUGUACUGACCGCCCCAGAACAUAACCCAGUCCCAGAGCUAGACAGUGAGCCAUCAGAGCCUGAGGUAAACCCAGAGAGUAACCCUCAGGAGUGUUGGCAAGGUAAACUACCAAUAGCCUUGAAUUAAUGGUUUGAAUCUCAGCUUGUGUGCAUUUUUACUAGUUAAUUUACCAUUUUCAGAAUGCUUUAUCAUGUAUAUACUGCCAUCUAAUCUGGGUUUGACAAUGUGGUAACUGGACUAUGUACAUUUAAAAUAGUUAAUUUCUACUGUAAGAUGUAUCUUCAUUAUUAAAAUAUAUCCACAACA